rnacentral:rRNA from 1 species
GGACUACUAGGGUAUCUAAUCCUGUUCGCUCCCCACGCUUUCGCUCCUCAGCGUCAGUAAUGGCCCAGAGAUCCGCCUUCGCCACCGGUGUUCCUCCUGAUAUCUGCGCAUUUCACCGCUACACCAGGAAUUCCGAUCUCCCCUGCCACACUCUAGCUAGCCCGUAUCGACUGCAGACUCGGGGUUAAGCCCCGAGCUUUCACAAUCGACGUGACAAGCCGCCUACGAGCUCUUUACGCCCAAUAAUUCCGGACAACGCUUGCGCCCUACGUAUUACCGCGGCUGCUGGCAC